rnacentral:sRNA from 1 species
AGUCUCAAAGCAUGGCCCCAGGGCCUGCUUGCAGUGCGUUGGGGUCAUGCUUAAGAGACGACAACAGGAAUGAGGAAGGAAGGCGGAGCCUGGAUUCCGAAUUCCUGUUAGGAUUCCGGGAGUGCGAAGCACGGAGGAAUCCGAGG